UCAUCAUCAUCAUCAUCAUCAAAAAAAGAUAAGCCAGUGUCAGAAUUAUGUCUUCUAAUGCUCAAAUAGGCUUCGAUUCCAACCAUGACUCUCUCAAUCUCCUCAGGAACUUGCUCAACAAAUUCUAAUCCUCCCCAUGGUAGACAGGAUAAAAUGCAAGUUACAUAAAAGUCUCCACGUGCUUGCCAGGAGGGAUUUCCUUUCUCCUCAUCCACUGUUGUGGCAGCAGAUGACAAUAAGGUUUCAAAGACAACCACCAAAGAAGCUGGUUGGAGAACUUUACUGCACAUCAUUGCAGUAAGAAAGCGCAUCAAAAUGCGAA
rnacentral:misc_RNA from 1 species